AGCGAACGCUGGCGGUAGGCCUAACACAUGCAAGUCGAACGGCAGCACCGUAAGAGCUUGCUCUUACGGGUGUCGCGUGGCGGACGGGUGACGAAGACACCGGAUUCUACCUUUUCGGGGGGGAUAACGCAGGGAAAUUUACGCUAAUACCGCAUACGACCUCCGGGGGUAAGCCGGGGAUCUUCGGACCUUGCGCGAGGGAAUGAGCCGAUGUCGGAUUAGAUAGUUGGCGGGGUAAAGGCCCACCAAGGCGACGAUCCGUAGCUGGUCUGAGCGGGUCGUCCGCUACCCUGGCACUGAGACACGGUCCAGACUCCGGCGGUGGGCCGCAGUCGGGAAUAUUGGGCGAUGGAGGAGUGCCUGAUCCAGCCAUACCGCGGGAGUGAUGAAGGCCUUCGGGUGGGAGAGCCCUUAUGUUGGUAGGGUUGAACAGCUGGUUUAUCCGCGGUUGUAAUGACGGUACCCGGAGAAUAAGCACCGGCUAACUUCGUG
rnacentral:rRNA from 1 species